rnacentral:rRNA from 1 species
UACGUAGGGGGCAAGCGUUGUCCGGAAUCAUUGGGCGUAAAGAGCGUGUAGGCGGCCCGGUAAGUCCGCCGUGAAAGUCCAGGGCUCAACCCUGGAAUGCCGGUGGAAACUGCCGGGCUGGAGUCCGGAAGAGGCGAGUGGAAUUCCUGGUGUAGCGGUGAAAUGCGCAGAUAUCAGGAGGAACACCGGUGGCGAAGGCGGGUCUCUGGGCCGUAACUGACGCUGAGGAGCGAAAGCAUGGGGAGCGAACAGG